rnacentral:tRNA from 1 species
AGUUUGAUAGCUCUGUUAGUAAAGCAGAGGGCUGUAGAUCCUUAGGUUGCCGGUUCGAAUCUGGCUCAAAGGA